ACGCCCAUAGCUCAACUAGGUAGAGCAACGGCCUUCUAACCCGGUGGUUGCAGGUUCGAUUCCUGCUGGGCGCACUA
rnacentral:tRNA from 1 species